GGAAGGUUCCAGUUUCUCCGCUGUGGAAUCUUCCGGAUUCGCUUCUGCCGGUGAAUAGACUGGCCCAGUCGCGUGUGGGAGGGACGCCGCGCAGACUCAUUAGCCCGCACGCAUGCUCCCCUCCCCCCAGAACUUCUUUAAUAUGAUCCAACAUAUGAACACAUUACCUGUGCUGAGAUAUGAGUGUAAACCACGGAGCUGCUAAUCAGUCUUCAAAACUCAGUGAUCAGGGACCUCUCUACUAGAGAGAGUGUAUCACAUCCAGUCCUGCCAACUGCUGAAUGUGAUGAGCUCAUGGAAGCUGAGGAUAUCGGUACCUUCCGGGGUCAGGUACAAAAUUUAUACUUAACCUACUUUUACUACUUCCUCUUUCUUGCUCUCCCCUCCUUUUUCCUCUGUCUUUAUAUCUUCCUCUCAUUAUUCUCCUUUUUCUUGGUGACUAACAUUACUUGCAUUCAUUCCUUCAGCCUGGGUAACCUAGACUGAUUUACUGAAACAUUCGUUUACUUAAGUCCAGUUAAACAAAGUACAGCAUUGUGGUGCUGGGUGUCACCCAGGGGGGAAGGCAAAGAAAGCAGUUAAUCAACCUAAACAUAGCAGCAUGAAUGCAGCAUAUUGACAACAUAUUAUUAGAUGCAUCACAGAAAGCCAAGGAGAGAUGUUUUCUAGUGGUAGUAGUUUGGAAAUACUGACAAAAAUCCCAGCGCCCAUUCUCUGCCUUUAAUAAGGCAAAAUGCCCAUACUGACUCCAAAGGGAGUUUUGCCUGACAAGUGACAGCGCAGAGGACUGUUGGAUUUGACCUAUUAAACUAAGGGUUCCAAUAUUCAAUUUAGUUCAAUAAAGUUGAUUUUUAAUGGGAAUAUAUAGGCCAAUGGUUAGUUUCUAUGGCCUAAAAUGUUUCUCCAGUUCCCUGAUAUUAAAUAACCCAUCUUGUUAUAGUGUGUAAGGGAAUUGCAUACCUAGAUGUUCCUGUUUUAAAGAAACAGUCUUCAAAUUUUUUGUGGACAAAUAAAUUCUUUCAGAAUAAAAUUGUAGUGUUCCUCUAGUAUCCACAAGGUGGUGAGCAAUCUCUUCUGACAUCUGGCUUUGGGCACAAGGGUUCUGAUUAGCACUUGAAAGUUACUUUAGGGUAGAAGGAAAGAUUUGUUUUUAAGAACUGCAUAUUUUUUAAUUCUAGAAAGGAUUGAGCACUAACUAAUGUCUCAUUUUGUGGUUCUACAGCUAGUAAAAGGAGCCAUGGUCAAGGAUAUUCCUAGUUUUUAUGGAGGCUUAUACAAAAUUUGAGGCUCCUUCGCCACCUUAUACCAAGCCCUCAAACUUUGCACAUACAAUUUUCUGAUUUAGUACCUGAAAGUUAUGUUUAUCUUUGUACAAAUGAAAAAUAUACGGCUAGAAAAACAACUCCUCCUCAUUAGUAUCUUUAUUACAAGUCAGUUACUCCUCAAGUAAGACCACUAGAAUUGGGUGAAGAAUUCACAGCAAAUAUUUUCUAAUGAACAGCUUGAUUCUCCCUUAUUUAUUUGUUCUUCACAAUUAUUCACCAAAUUUCAUUGCAUACUUUUUGCUCUACAGGUUGUGGGCAAGCCUGUUUCAGACUAUCAGCAUAUCAGAACUGGAACUCCAUCUUUUUCUCCAUGUACCCUGCCACAGUGGGCAGACUGCAAGGAUCCCAAAAAAUAGAUCUAAUUUAGAGUUUUGUAGUGGUCAUCGUCACAAUAUUGUGGGAGGUAUCUAGACAUAGGUUGUGUGGGCAUAGACAACUAAGUCUGGAAGGCUUUAGCACCCAUUUAGGGAUUGUGUUAAUAAAUAAAAGAAAUGCUGUAUUUUGAACUGAAGCUCAUUUCACUUUAUUAGAAGUGGAUAAAUUUAGUUAUGGUACAACAUUUCUCCUUAAAAGUGAUAUUCAAUGGCUUUUUUAAAACUCUAGUCCGUCCCCGUCCCCCCCCAAAAAAUUAAAAGUUGUCUAUGCCCCUGUAUUAGCAGAAUGAAGGCCAAGGUGGAUUUCAUGGAGUCUUCUGUUCUCUCUUUCCUUGGGGGGUUUAAUUUGAGGUAGGAACACUGUUGUCUCAUUUGGUUAUCGUCAGAAAGGUGUUAGCAAAUAGGAAGAUCAUGCAGCAUUUCCUAAGGGUGGCCAGACUGAAUUAGUUGCAUUGGAUAUUUGUUCUAUAGUGAGACCCCCAGGAUCAAGAAUGCCUGAUCGUGGACUCUCUUUUGCUUUUACCUGUGCUUUGUGAUAUGCAUUUUCCAGAGGAGUGCAACUAUCUUGGUAGCUUAGAUACAGAGAUGCAGCAAGGACCCAAGCCAUUAAUGGCUUUUAAUAUCAGGACCAAUACCUUGAAAAUAUUUCUUGUGAAAUUGUGUCCCAGUAUCUGGAAAAAUAAGAGGAGGUCUUUUAUUUUUAAUUUCCUUGAGAGAAAUGAAACUCCAGCUUGGCUUACAUAAUACAGCCCCAUGCAGAGCUCCUCUAACUCAGAUAAUACAGGAAUGUUGUUACACCUGAUUUGUCUCAGUGUGGAGAAGUAUAUUAAAGGUAAUCAACUAUUUCAGAGGAGACAGAUGGGGCUGAAUUAAAGACAACGUGCCACAGUUGCUCAGCUGUAUUUAGGUUAUAGAAUGUUCUUUGUUGCAAAACAUUUCUGAUGGAAAAUUAAUUUUGUCUGCUCAGUCACUUGAGGACACUAGCCUUUUUUGUCAGUAUUUCAUGAUUAGAUUUCAGAGAGCUUGUAUUAGUAAAGUGAUGUCCUCUGGAAAAAAUCAGAAGCCUGAAUCAGCACUGUGUGACUCCAGUUUUAUACUAGUGCAGCUCCAUGGAUUUCAGUGUCCAAGUGAACAUUUGGCAUUAUCUAAACUUUCAUAAAAAAUGGAGAAGUCUACUUGUCAGACAGGAUCAUAGAGCUUGCCACAAUGAGUCACCGCAUCCACACCCCAUUCAUAUCUUAUCUUGUCUCCUGUUUGGCUAUUGCCAAUCCCUAACACGUCAUAGGGGAAACUCCCAACUAUAAUGCACCUACCCAUUUCUGCAAUGACAAACGGUGUGCAUCUAUGUGCUUUCUCGACUUCUUAGUCUCAGGUAUUUUCAACAGGAAAAUCUUGACAUGUACAUGUAUACAGCUGACAGAUUUACACUCUGACAAGACAUUAACUGUGUAACACUUCAUAUAAGACUCCUGGGCAGUCUUCAUUCUAUUUGAUAUGGUAUUUUGUAUGGUAUGGGUGUUGUAAUAGUAAUGAGUCAUGUCAGUAGAAACAGACCCCUCCUUUGCCAGAAACUCUGAUACAUAGAUGAUUGGGGCUAGGAAAUAAUGUUCUUUUGUCUUGUACCAGUUCUCUUGUAAGUCACUAUUAUUAAACUCAUCAAUAAAAAAAAAAGUGAGAUGUUCAA